rnacentral:rRNA from 1 species
AUGGACACGUGGCACAUCUUUCUCGGCUCGAUCCUCUUCGCCAUCCCGCUGAUCCUACUCCUCCGCGGCCGCAAGGGCGGCCGCCUCCGCGUCCCGCCCGGCCCGCCGUCCCUGCCGGUGCUGGGCAGCGUGGUGUGGCUGACCAACUCGCUCGCCGACGUGGAGCCCCUGCUCCGGCGCCUGUUCAAGCGCUACGGCCCCAUCGUGUCCCUGCGCGUGGGGUCCCGCCUCUCCAUCUUCGUCGCCGACCGCCGCCUCGCGCACGCGGCGCUCGUCGAGCGCGGCGCCACGCUCGCGGACCGCCCCGCCCUCCCUUCGCUGAAGCUGCUGGGCGAGAACGACAACACCAUCACGCGCGCCAGCUACGGCCCCGUGUGGCGCCUCCUGCGCCGCAACCUCGUCUCCGAGACGCUGCACCCGUCGCGGGUCCGCCUCUUCGCCCCCGCGCGCUCCUGGGUGCGCCGCGUGCUGGCCGAGAAGCUGCGUGAUGAGUCGUCCUCCGGCGGCGCGGCCGUCGUGGAGACAUUCCAGUACGCCAUGUUCUGUCUCCUCGUGCUCAUGUGCUUCGGUGAGCGGCUCGACGAGGCCACGGUCCGCGCGAUCGCUGCCGCCCAGCGCGAGCCGCUCAUCUACAGGUCGAGGAAGAUGGCCGUCUUCGCCUUCCUGCCGUCGGUGACCAAGCACCUCUACCGCGACCGCCUCCAGACCGUGCACGCCAUGCAGCGGCGGAAGAAGGACCUGUUCGUGCCGCUGAUCAACGCUCGGCGGGAGUACAGGAAACUCGGCGGCGAGCCCAAGAAAGAGAGCACGUUCGAGCACUCCUACGUCGACGCCCUGCUCGACAUUAAGCUCCCCGAGGAGGGAAACCGCCCGCUGACCGACAACGAGAUGAUCAACCUCUGUUCCGAGUUCCUCGACGCCGGGACCGACACCACCUCCACCGGGUUGCAGUGGAUCAUGGCCGAGCUGGUGAAGAACCCGGCCAUCCAGGAGAAGCUCUACAAAGAGAUCAGCGCCACGAAGGGGGACGACCAGGACGAGGUCUCGGAGGAGGACGUCCACAAGAUGCCGUACCUCAAGGCGGUGGUGCUCGAGGGCCUCCGGAAGCACCCACCGGCGCACUUCGUGCUGCCGCACAAGGCGGCGGAGGACAUGGAGGUCGGCGGGUACCUGAUUCCCAAGGGGGCGACGGUGAACUUCAUGGUGGCCGAGAUGAGCAGGGACGAGCGGGAGUGGGAGAAGCCAACGGAGUUCUUGCCGGAGCGGUUCCUGCCAGGCGGCGCAGGCGAAGCGGUGGACGUGACCGGCAAUCGGGAGAUCAAGAUGAUGCCGUUCGGCGUGGGCCGGAGGAUCUGCGCCGGGCUGGGCAUCGCCAUGCUCCACCUGGAGUACUUCGUGGCCAACAUGGUAAGGGAGUUCGAGUGGCAGGAGGUCCCCGGCGAGGAGGUGGACUUCGCCGAGAAGAACGAGUUCACCGUCGUCAUGAAGAAGCCGCUGCGCCCACGCCUCGUGCCCCGAAGGGCCUGA